ACAAUGAGUUUCAGCGGCUCACAGGGACCUUUGCAAGAGAGUCCCUAGGAGACCUCAUCGAAAGAAGGGGGGACAGGAUCCUGAGCGUCCUGCAGAAAGGCUCCAAACUGCAUGUUGAAGACCUUGACGACAGCAAUUCAUAUGUGGUGGCAGUGCUGACAAGCCUUCCACGGAUUGUAAAGGAAGACCCCAGUGCUAUUCUUUCGCCACUGGUGCCAGGAGCCAUGUCUGCACACCCACAUCUUUUUUAUUCUGGCGACAAGCCUGAGGCUUCGAGCACUUUUUUGGUGACAUUUGAGGACCUUAAACUUACAGCCGUUGACAUAACAGAUGGGUUCGCUUUGCUUCUUGCUGCAUAUUGGGCAUUUAAUGUCCAGUAUGCACAAAAAGCAAAGCGAACCUUUCUUCUGCUCGAGACAUUGAUGGGCAUGGAGCCUAGCAGCCUUCUGCCAUGCGUUGUCAAGGCAGCAACUGCCAUUGACAGCGCAUGAAAUGAUUAAUCAGAGAGCAGUAUUUAUUUCUUUUAUAGUUCCUAAUGCAUCUGAUUUUUAAACGUCUUGCCCAGGCAGCCUGUUUUCAAGCUCCAAAGGGUAAGGCCCGACUGGUCGUGCGAGAAACGUUUGUCCUGUGAACUUCAUUCUGCAGGUCCUGUUGAGCCUGUUAUCUCCAUGUCAUUGGGACAUGGUUAAAGGGAUGCCAUACCUGCAAGUGCUAGUUAGCCAGGCUUGUUGGUGUGAUGACAUUGCGGCUACGAUUGCUAAAACAAAACAACCCACAAGCCUUGCUAACAACAAUUUGCAAAUAAUAAAAAUAAGGGGUUUUACAAGCCAAAACCACAAUCGGAUUAUGAGGCACACCAUAGUGGGGGACUCCGGAAAAUUUGGACCACCUGGAGUUCUUAACGUGCACCUAAAUAUAAGUACCCUGGCGUUCUUGUAUUUCGCCCGCAUCGAAAUGGAGCCACUAUGGCCAGAAUUCGAUCCUGCCACCUUGUGUAGCAGCUCAACAACAUAGCCACUAAGCAACCAUGGCGGGCAAUUUGCAGAUAUUCCAUCCCUUCAACCAUUUCCUGUAGAGUAAGAACAUUUCCCGCAGGACCUGCACGGUGAAAUUUCCAGAACAAAUAUUUGUCCCAUGACCAGCACAGCUUCUUUAUCCUUAGGAGCUUACUAAUGGUCUGCAUAGGCAAGAGAAGACCCCUCAGCAGGCCCCAUUGCAUAUUUUAAGUAGGCGAACAUCAAAGUCAACGCGCACUCUCUCCUUGCCUCCACUAGUAUCUGCAAGUGGCUUCCCUCCCCUGCCGUACCCCGUACAGAAGCAGCCUUUUUUUUUCCUUGCUUGACAUCCACUCGAGUUUCGGUUUAGUGUUGCUUGUCCUAUAGAGCAUAUCCUUGUUGCGCAAUCUUUUUUUUUUCUGCUUGAAGCACGACACAUGCAAAUGUUUGUUUCUAGUUGCAGUUUGUAUCGCACUAUUUUUAUUUGUUUAUAAAAUACUGGGGACAUGGAAGCCCAAGCAGGGUGAGUGUAAUACACAGAAUAACACGAGUGUUUAUACAAAUGCAUAAAAAAAUGUCGCAGUUUGGCCCGAAAGGCGAAGCAUCAAUUGCGAUAGCAAAUUAGUAGAGAGCUAUUUGGAGUAGGGAUAGUAGUUUUAUCGGCUGCACAAACUUGGACACAUUGUCUUGCUAACUGAAUUAACAAUCGUGGUGUCACGCGCACAAGCAAACAUGAAUAGAUCACACUGAAUGACCGCAGCCAACGACUAUCAAAACGCUGGCAGCAAGCGCAAGUUCGCGCAGUCUAUCGCUUCAAUGGAAACGGAGCCGCGAAUGCACAGCGCAUACAAAGGUCAGAGCCGUGUGGAGAUAAGAGACGGUGCGGGUGACCGCCGGGCAAAGUGCAGAGAAGUUGUUGGCAGAGGAGAAGCUGCCCCCCCUCAUCCCGUUUCUUGCUUGCGCGUGGGAGAUUGAGUGGCAAGAUAGGCCUUUGGUGCUGGAGCACCGCCUCCCUCCCUCCCUCCCAUACCCCCACGGCCUUUUGCGGGACGGUCGCGUUUGCUUUCCCGCAUGCUUUCGCUCGCACAUAUGGCGCGCGGCGACGAUUUUAUCGCCCUUGGAAUCUAUACGGAACCUCACGGCGACAGCAGAAAUCUGGUUGAAGUGUCCAUAUAAUUGCUCUCGCAAUAAAAGACACAACUUUCAUAGGCACUGGGGAAAUGCAUGGUUCUAGUCAGAUAUUGUUUGUGGAGACAAAGAAUACCUAAAUGUGUCAGGCUUAGAGGAUGAGGGUCUUAUGGACGCCAGUUCGAACCUCUGGACUUUGCGAGAAAUUCCUUCACCGGUACAUUAGGCCCUACACCAUCUUGCAAAAAACUUCCGCAGUGAACUAUAGUCGCUCCGCUUCACUCGGUCGCGGACUGCCGUCGUCGUACUGCAGAAAUCGUUCACGUCUCUCACAUGAAGCACUUUAUUCCCUGUUCAGCCGGUCUUUAGAUUGCGGCCAGGUUGGCGCUUCCACGAGGGUGGGCAAUUGGUGUAAGCGCAUUUAACGUACUUCAUCGUUCUCAUUUGUAUAUAGCCAUCAUCCCUGUUCUUCGUGCUUGCACCAUAUGCUGAAUAAUGUACAUUUGUCACUGCGCUGAAAGGUGAAAUGGCUCUUCCAUUCCUUUGUGUGUGUGUUUUUAAGUGCUCAUGUGAUUGUGUAUUUUUUUUACAGUACAAAUUGUAUAGUGUCAAUUGUAAAUACACAUGUAAAUUGUAAAUAAACAUGCUGGUUGUUUUCUUUGUGCUUUCUA